GACGAACGCUGGCGGCGUGCCUAAUACAUGCAAGUAGAACGCAGUUGCGAACGGGUGAGUAACGCGUAGGUAACUGCCUCAUAGCGGGGGAUAACUAUUGGAAACGAUAGCUAAUACCGCAUACUGUGAGAUGGACCUGCGUUGUAUUAGGUAGUUGGUGAGGUAAAGGCUCACCAAGGCGACGAUACAUAGCCGGCCUGAGAGGGUGAACGGCCAACCUUGGACCUGAACCCGGCCCCGACCCCUUCGGGAAGGAGCCGGAGGGAAUCUUCGCCAAUGGACGGAAAGCUGACCGAUCAAAGCCGGCUGGGUGAAAAAGGUUUUCGGGUCUUAAAGCUCUGUUUUUAGGGGAGCGGUAACUAACCAGAAAGGGACGGCUAACUACGUGCCAGCAGCCGCGGUAAUUC
rnacentral:rRNA from 1 species